GUCAAUGGUGGACUGGAUGGGGGAGCCGAAAGGCUCGCCGGGUCCUUUCUAGCCGGUUUUUGCAGCCCUGUUCAGUUCACCGCCAUA
rnacentral:antisense_RNA from 1 species